rnacentral:snoRNA from 1 species
UCACAUGAUGCGGUAAUUUGCGAUUGACCCUGCGACUGUGAACUCUCGCCGGAGUUUCAAUACAGCGCUCGCGCAUGAUAUUCAAUUUCUUACAUAUUCUGAUG